AUGUUGAAGACUUUAUAAAAACAAAACUGAAUGUUAAUUAUAAGAAUUAAUAUUUUUGUUGUCAUGUUGCAUUUCGAUUCAUACGUUUUAUCUAAGAAUUUAUUUUUUUGUUAUUCAAUUGUUUAUUAUUUUUGGGAAAUUCCAUCUUCACAAAUGUAAAUGGUAAAAUUCACAACCCUAUUUUAAUUUAUUUUAUCUGGACUUUAAAUUAUAAAACAGCAGAACACAUGCAAAAUCUAAAGGCUUCAAGAACAUUUUUUUACUUUUUUUAGUUUGCACAUCGUCACUCCCUGGUUUAGUAAUGUUUUAUGUUGAUGUUUCACUGUACUUGUAGUGUUUUCUGCUAAAUUUUGUUAAAAAAAAUUCACAACUGAAAGUGAACAUUUAUAAAUUGAAAGAAUGUCCAAUAAAGGUUAUUUAAAAAAAAUCACAUCCAUAUUUUAGCUGAUAAAUGACUUUUAAAAUAUUUGUCUUAAACAAAUUUCGUAUUAAAAAAAAGGAAAAUGGUGAACACAUUAUAAAGUGAGUAGGGGCGGAAUUCAGACAUAAUCCCGUUGCCAUUUUGCCGCCAUUUUGAAAAAAAAAGUUUUUUUUUCCUCAUAAAUUUACAGCUCAGACCAGGGCGACGGGGCAGAAAGUGAGGGGCGUGUAGCCAGUGAUGGCGGGGGUGGGUACCGCCUCCACUUGCAGCUUAAAUUUCCCAACAUAACUGCUAAACGAGAAGAUGUCUACACCUUCCAGAAGAGGUUUCCUUGCAUCUACCACCACAACAUCUGACAAUGAAAGAGACAUCCCUGCAACGUCCGUUAAAGCGUCAGCCGGGAGGAUUUACAGUCCAGUUGCUCGGCAACCCUCUGCAACGGCAAUCGUUGAAGUCUUAUUGCCGUGACGCCGUUGUCGGAGGCAUUUAAGGAGCAAACGCAGGGGGAACAAAGUGCUAAGUCAGUGGAGCCAAGUGGAGUAGAAUCAGCAGAGUCGAGAGCAGAGAUUAAACUCAUUUUUUAACCGGCGAA